rnacentral:misc_RNA from 1 species
GAUGAAGAACGCAGUGAAAUGCGAUACGUAAUGUGAAUUGCAGAUUUCAGUGAAUCAUCGAAUCUUUGAACGCACAUUGCGCCCGCCAGUAUUCUGGCGGGCAUGCCUGUUCGAGCGUCAUUUCAACCAUCAAGCCUUCGCUUGUGUUGGGGCCCCGCGGCUGCCGCGGUCCCCUAAAUCCAGUGGCGGGCUCGUCGUCGUACCGAGCGCAGUAGACAUCCUCGCUCCGGGAACCCGACGGGUGCCGGCCGUGAAACCCCCCACAUCAAGGUUGACCUCGGAUCAGGUAGGAAUACCCGCUGAACUUAAGCAUAUCAAUAAGCGGAGGA